rnacentral:rRNA from 1 species
AGUGAACGCUGGCGGCAGGCCUAACACAUGCAAGUCGAACGGCAGCACAGGAGAGCUUGCUCUCGGGGUGGCGAGUGGCGGACGGGUGAGGAAUAUAUCGGAAUCUACCCUUUCGUGGGGGAUAACGUAGGGAAACUUACGCUAAUACCGCAUACGAACUGAGGUUGAAAGCGGCGGACCGCACGGCGUCGCGCGGAUGGAUGAGCCGAUAUCCGAUUAGCUAGUUGGCGGGGUAAAAGCCCACCAAGGCGACGAUCGGUAGCUGGUCUGAGAGGAUGAUCAGCCACACUGGAACUGAGACACGGUCCAGACUCCUACGGGAGGCAGCAGUGGGAAAUAUUGGACAAUGGGCGCAAGCCUGAUCCAGCCAUGCCGCGUGUGUGAAGAAGGCCUUCGGGUUGUAAAGCACUUUUGUUGGGAAAGAAAAGCGGUCGGUUAAUACCCGGUCGUUCUGACGGUACCCAAGGAAUAAGCACCGGCUAACUUCGUGCCAGCCGCCGCGGUAA